GCCUCCGUAGCUCAGCGGUUAGAGUGUCUCGAUAUCUUGCAUCAGGAUGAACAUUAAUGAGGAGACGUGGGUUCAAUUCCUACUGGAGGUG